rnacentral:misc_RNA from 1 species
UUCUAUAUAAACCCUUAUUUUCUUUUAUUAUCAUAUUCAUAUCCAAAACACCAAAUCAUUACAUUUUUAUCCAAAUGAAGCUUUUAUUAUUAUUGUUAUUAUUAGUAGUAAGAACAGACGUUAAUCUCUCCCGUGCAGCUUUCGGCCAUAAAUAAUCAAAUCCGAUUCGAAAUUCUUUGUUGGAGCUUCUAUCCAAACUGAAAAUGUCACUGCUUUAAGUACAUAGACAUUGCUCUGUGCCCAUCUCCCCACGUCCCUUCGCUUCACUGGACUGCAACAUUUUUCCGCUUACUUUCAGGGCUUAUAUUUUAGAUGGAAUCUCAAGGUCAAGGGGAAGUGUGUUCACCUGAGACUCUUGCAUAUAUGGAGCUUGCAAUAGAACAGGUAAUGCGUCGACCUUGCUCUUAGGAAAAAAGAUUAAAUUGAAUUCUUGAAGUACUUACUCAAUUAUGGUAAUCCUCAUGAGCAGAUCUUGAUUGAUGUCAGGAAACCUGUAAAGCAAUUCUUUAUCUAGAUAUUUUUGAAAACAUAAAGUGUCCACUAAAUUAUUUGUGAAUUUGACAAGGCUAAGUUAACCUGUAGGUGCUACUUGUUCCUCCUGGCAUGCUAGGAAAAUGUUGUUUCUGCUUAAAGCAAGUGAAACGUUAUGUUGAUUGUUUUAGCUUGUGUUCAAUUUAAAUUGUUGUGUUGGAUUUUAGACUUGUUUCUCUUUGAUAUAUUAUCAGUUUGUCGUAUGGCAGGCAAAACAUGCUUUGGACUGUCUUGAAGUGCCAGUGGGGUAAGCUGUUUUCUAUUAUUCGAAUUUGUAAUUUUUCCACAGCAUGAGCAAGUUGAGGUUUUAAGUUGCAGAGCUUCUGCUUCUUUACCGAUGUAUGUCAUGACAUUUUCUCUGACAAGUUUUUGGUAUAAUGUAAUUUUUCUGUGGUUAUAAAGACCGGCUUUGUUUCAUUAAGAUGCUCAACAUUUGCAGUUACCCAUUCCAGAAAAAAGAAAUUGAUUCUUUUGCUUGAAAUCUGUUUAUUAUAAUAUUUGGGCAGUUUCUCCUUUAAUAAUAAAAUAUUUUUUUAUGGACCAGUUGUGUGAUGGUUGAAAGUGGGAAUGUGAUUGCAUCUGGAAGAAAUCGAACCACAGAGACAAGAAAUGCUACAAGACAUGCAGAAAUGGAAGCAAUAGAUGUUCUUCUCGAGCAGUGGCAGAAAAAUGGACUUUCAGUGUCAGAAGUUGCUGAAAAUUUUUCAAAAUGCACUCUCUAUGUUACAUGUGAACCAUGUAUAAUGUGUGCUGCUUCUUUGUCUAUUCUUGGUAUCCUUUGGUUUUCAAAUGAUGAUUCUCUAAUGCCUGUUACAUCUCUUCUAAUUUUGCUCACUAGUCUAGUUAAUAACUUGCUCUAUUAUUGCCUGGCUUAGGUAUAAAGGAAGUAUAUUAUGGCUGUGCAAAUGAUAAAUUUGGAGGCUGUGGGUCAAUAUUGUCUUUGCAUUCAAGCAGCAAUCAACCACAUAAUAGGUACAUUCUGUUUUUAUUCUCUUUUAGUUUGUGACAAUUGUUCAGAUGUCUGCUACUGGACAUAACACUAUGCCUUAUUUAUACAUUCUGAAUAACUACAAUUAUAAGAAGGAAAUUGCAAAUAGCAUGUGAGGAUAUAGGAUCUCAAUAUUUGACUAAAUUCAACAAAAUCAAGGGAAUGCCCCUCUGAAAUUUUCUCACAAAUAAGCCAGUGACAGACUUCAAUAUGAAAAUAACAUUUCAGAUCAGUACAAUUUUACUAUUUUUACUAAAGAAAAGUAACAAAACACAAUCAGGGGAGAUAUGGAGCACUCUUGGAUCAAGAGGCUGAACUGAUGAUUGGGUCUAGGCCAUCUCUAAAAACAGAAGAAAGCAGGAACAGAUGAACAAGAAGAAGAAUUAAGAAUGAGAAACGUUUAAUCAUAUGCAAUUGCAGUUGUGUCUCAUAUGUUGUGUACUUGUAUCUUCAACGGCUGUAAAGCUAGUAAUUAUGCAAUUAUGUUCUUUAAAUUUUCAUCAUACACCAUUGCAAUAUAUGAAUCACUUCCCUGCUUGCAGAUUAUUAUGACUGAGGGAAAAUAAAAAUAGUAUGUUUUUCUGAUUGAUUUCUCUUAGUAGGAUUGGAGGUUGUUAUAGUUACAUAUUACCUGGAUUGUCCAGUUCCUGAUGCAGGGACAUUCAAUCAAUGGGUAGAGAUUUCAUUUAAAAUACAGCUUCCAUUAUUAUGCAAUUCAGAUCAACUCUAACAUAUCCUUUUUGUUGAUAGUGGGGAAGUUGCACAAGGAAAGGGUUUCAAAUGUACUGGUGGAAUAAUGGCAUCUGAAGCAGUCUCACUUUUGCGAUGUUUCUAUGAGCAAGGGAACCCUAAUGCACCAAAGCCUCACAGGUCCGUGACUCUCCAGGCUACACAUAACUAAUACCUUUCGUGCUACUGCUACCUGUUGUCAUGAUUUAGGAGUUGGAAUAAUGAAGAAUCUUCAUUAUAUCAUUAUACGUGAGAUUUAGGCAGAGGAAUGUUUAGGUUCAGCGGUAUUACUUAAAAAGUGUUUAUUAUAGAAGCUCAUGUAAGCUUGAAGUAGAAUUCAAUUGCAUUUUUCUUCUGUCUGACCUUGCAAAUAUACUCUUUUUUUUUUUUGUCUGAUUAAGGAUUAAAACUAAAAAUCUCCCUUAAGGGAGUUGAGCUUGGUUUGGUUUAACUUGUUAAUGUUCAUUUUUUAAUUGUACAAUGCAAUCAUAAAGAGUAAGAGGAUUGAUUUUUUAAUGAUUGUUUUAACACGGUAGACUUUAAGCACUAGCUAUGACGGUAUAUAUCUCAUCUAUAUAUUUUCAAGAGCUUCCUCUUAAUCUAUUUUAAAACAAUGGAUAGUGAUUCAUAAGGUAUUAAAAAGAAUUUUUGCAAUGAAUUACUUAUAAUCGAGCUGUCUCUCUCCACUUGGUGGAGAGAAAAUUUCUCUCAUCUUUCUUUCGUUCUUCCGAGACUAAAGUACCCUUGCUCUACUGCUUCAGGCGGCUUUCCUUUGCCCUUUUAGGUGGGGUUGGCCGCCGUUGCCUCUUUGGGAGGGGAAGGCCUUCCCCUCCUGUUUUAGUGGGCUUCCCCUCCGUCACUGAUGGGUUGGGUUGUAGAUAGAUUUUGACUUGAGGAUAGUGAUGGAGAAAGGAGGAGGGUCCUUGGGCUGCCGAUGGGUUUUAUUUGUGUUGUGAUCUAGCUAUGUUUGUUCCUUUGCUGGUUUUAGUGUGUGCUUUUGCAGGUGUUAAAUGGCUUAAGGGAGGAGCCUCUAAAGAUUUGCUUUGUCUGACUCUUGCAUGUCCUUUUGAGCAGCCUUGCAAACUUGAUUGAAGGAAACUCUGUUGUUGUGCAUGUAAGGAGGAUGCAUCCCUAGGGUUAAAGUGUUUGGCCGAGAGAGUGCCACCGCCCUUGCUUGAGAGUGAGAUGCCCGCUGGGUUUUUGCUGCUCCUUUGCUUCCUCCCUCUGAAUGCGCAGAUCUAUGCUUGAAUGGUUCUCUGGCCUCAUGGCUUUCCUGAUUUACACAGUUGAUAAUGUUUUUAGCUUGAUUUGCUCUGUGGUUUUGCUGGUUCUGAUUGCCUCUCCCUAUCUAUCAUAUGGUCUUGGCUGAGCAAGACUAGAAAUGGAGCGCUGGUUGCCAUGUCUUAGGUCCUCAGCUGUGGGUGUUCCACCCGAUUGGGUAACCUUAGGGUUUUUGUCUGCCUUUUUAAAGCUGUCAAUGGAAAUUUUAUCUCUGGGCAAAAAAAAAAAAUGUUUUAAUUUGCUCAAUAUCAAUUGGUUGCAGUAUGUAAUUUGAAACAAACUUGAU